CUUUUUUUGUUUGCAUGAUUUGUGUUUUCUCCCCCUCUUUCUCUGCACUUUGGGUGUUGGUCUUUUUUUCAAAUUGUUUAUUUUUUCGGGUUCCUUGCUUUGUGACUGCCUUCACGCAGACCAAUCUCAAGGGUUUGGGAUUCUCAGAAAGUCAGACUGGACCACUGCAAAUCCUCCACAAGCAGGUUGUUUGAUUUCUGGACCAGUGGUUCUCAGCGUCGGCCAUAUGUCCCCAAGUGGGUCACGGUGGAUAUUGUGGGGACCUCAAGUGAAAAAAAAAGAAAUGGGGGCCACAGGAGCAUCUGAAAGGGCCAUGAUUUUGGGAAUUCUGGUUGGUGAACAUGAAAGGUUGCAGUAGAAAAGCAGCAUCCAUCAUCAAAGAUCCUCACCACCCAGGCCAUGCUCUUUUCUUGCUGCUGCCAUCAGGGAGAAGGUACAAGAGCCUCAGGACUCACAUCACCAGGUUCAAGAACAGUUACUACGCCUCAACCAUCAAGCUCUUGAACAAAAGGGGAUAGUUACACUCAUUUAAGGACUCUUUUAAGAGCUCUGUUACAUUGUUAUUUCAUGUUUGUUAUUCGUUGCUAUUUUUUGCAUCUACAUUUGCAUAGUUUGUUUACAGUUUACAGUUCCUGAUGUUUACAGUUUACUGUUACUGUUCUAUAGUUUUGCUAAGCAUGCCCACAGAAAAAGAAUCUCAGGGUUGUAUGUGGUGACAUGUAUGUACUCUGAUAAUAAAUGAACUUUGAACUUUGUGAGCACUGGAAGAUAAUUCCUGAUCUGACCAAGU